AACUUAUCAAGAGUGAGGGAGGGACUGGCCCGAUGAACUCCGGCAACCUGCUUGGCCGAAAGCAAGGUGCUAAUUCCAGCAAAAUGGGUACCAUUUUGGAAGAUAAGGC
rnacentral:ncRNA from 2 species